UCCCUGGCGGCUAUAGCGCUGUGGCCCCACCCGAUCCCAUCCCGAACUCGGAAGUGAAACGCAGCUGCGCCGAUGGUAGUGUGAAUUCUCAUGCAAGAGUAGGUCACCGCCAGGGGCUUUA
rnacentral:rRNA from 1 species